UACGUAGGGUGCGAGCGUUGUCCGGAAUUAUUGGGCGUAAAGAGCUUGUAGGCGGUUUGUCGCGUCUGCUGUGAAAAUCCGGGGCUCAACCCCGGACUUGCAGUGGGUACGGGCAGACUAGAGUGUGGUAGGGGAGACUGGAAUUCCUGGUGUAGCGGUGGAAUGCGCAGAUAUCAGGAGGAACACCGAUGGCGAAGGCAGGUCUCUGGGCCGACUACUGACGCUGAGAAGCGAAAGCAUGGGGAGCGAACAGG
rnacentral:rRNA from 1 species